rnacentral:lncRNA from 1 species
CCUUAGUCACUAAUCGUGCUUUAUAUCGCUCAAUUGAUCCAUCAGACUUGUGUUUGAUGUGAAACACCCAUUUUCAAUUGACUAAGUUUUGAUAUGGAUAUGGUGGAACAAGGUCCCAAGUACCAUUGCUAAGCAGGGCAUCAAAUUCCUUGGACAUGGCUUGGUGCUAGUGGGGAUGUUUUAGGGCAAGGGUAACACUUGUGGGUUCAAUGGGUUCGAAAGGGGAAAGAUAAGAAGUGAGGGUGAGUUUUUGAAUGGGUUUUCAGAUAUUGUUCUUGGCACAGGUCAUCAUGGGAUGGACAUUCUCUUAAGGUAAGGAGGUUUUGACAUGAGGAGAGUCAAGUGGGAAUUGGGAAGUUGAAUGGGUGGGUGGAGGUGUGGUUGAAGCCUUGUACAUUGCAAGACAAAUAUCUAGCACACAUUGGUUGUCAUUUGCAUUGGACUGAUUAGAUGAGUCCAAAAUAGAAGACACAAUCUCAUCAUGGGUAGGAUUUUUGGGAGUGUUGACUGCCUUGGGUGUGGAAGGAGUGACAAGUUUUAUGGGAAGGAAAAAUGGUUGACUAAUGGAUGCAGGGGAAAAGGAAGAGGGGGGGAGGGGGUGGUUUGGAAGAAAAAGGAACAAAAAUGGGAAGAGAUGAUGACAUAUGAGGGACCUAAGUAUUGAAUGUAUCUUGACAUGGUCUAGGACAAGAGAGCAAAAGAGAUGCAAAUGGAAAUAUGGAUUCCACAAAAUCAACAUGGCGUGAGAUAAAAAGUUUUUGAGUGGACAGGUGAAACAAUGAUAAACACUCUGAGAAAGUGAAUACCCUACAAAAAAACAUGGUCUUGAUCGUGGCUCUAAUUUAUUUUUAUUGUAGGGUUUUAACCAUGGAUAACAAAGACACCCAAAAUGGAGAGAUCAUAGACAGAAUUGGAGUGGGCAUGCGAUUUAUGAGAUAAGUUACAGUACAAAAGACAUGUGACUAGAAUUUGAGAGGAAGGAAGGCAUGGCUAAGGAAGGUGGGACCGGUCUCAACAAUGUGACAAUGACGACAUUCAAAAAAAUCCAUUAUGUUUAGGGAUGUGUGGUGGUGUAGUACGAUGAGAAAUACCAUGUUAAGAUAAAAAAAAAAAAAGGUGUUAAGGCUUUGAUAUUCCCCACCAUUAUCAAUGUAUGGUGUAAUGAUAGAACUAUCAAAAGAUUUUUCUACAAUGAGCCAAAAACAUCAUAAACCUCUAAUUUUUAUUUUAAUGGAUAUAACCAAAUAUAUUUUGUGAAAUGGUCAACAAAUAUAAUGUAAUAUUUAUAUCCAUCAUAGGACUCAAUGAGUGAUCCCCAAACAUCAGAAUAGAUAACUUCAAGAGGGGAUGAACAUGUAAUAGACGAAACAGAGAAAUGAAGUUUAUCCGUUUUAUUGCAUUUGCAAGCAUUACAAGAAAAAGUAGAUGAAGUUGUGGAGGACAUAGACACAUCAUGAGAUGAAAUUAACUGCUAAAGAACUUUGACAGAGGGAUGACCAAGGCGAUUAUGCCAUUCAAAAAUGGAAGUUUUGACACUAGAAAAAGGCAAUCAGUGGUGGAGAAGAUGAGACUUGAGUCAGCCAUUCAUAGACACCAUUUUUAAUUGGUCCUUGCAAAAGACGUGCCCCCAUGCAAAGAUUCUUCACAACAAAUGAGAAAGGCAAAAAUUUAACUGAUACAUUAUUAGAUAAACAGAAUUUAGAGAUGGAAAUAAGAUUAGGAACACAAGAACAUUUGUUAAUUUAAAAGGUUGAGAGGGAGAAGGAAUAGUAGUAGAACCAGUAUGGAUAAUGGAAAAACCAGUGUCAUCACCAAUCAUGUCAUCUGAGCUUGCAUAAGGGGAGUGGAGAGAAAGAUUAUUGAGGUCGAUAGUAACAUGGUGAGAAGCACCUGAAUCAAGAAGCCAGCUUGAAGAGGCAUGAUCAGGUUGAGCAGCAAAAUUAACACAUGAAGCAUUGGAUAUUGGUCGAGAGUGUUGAAUAGAUUGGGGUUGAAAGAAGGACUGAGUAUUCCAAGGCAUGUAACGAAAGCUUGGACAAUGCUUUGCCCUGUGCCCCUAUUGCCCACACAAAUGGCAAUACCCUUUGUAAGGUUUUGGACUGAAGGUACGAUUAUGAAAAGAGUAGGUCUGACCAUGUUUUGACUGGUUAUGGCUAGGGUGACAGUUGAAUUUUUCCAAUCUAUUCAG